rnacentral:rRNA from 1 species
UACGGGGGGGCAAGCGUUGUUCGGAAUUACUGGGUCGUAAAGGGCUCGUAGGCGGCCAUCUAAGUCGGACGUGAAAUCCCGUCCGGCUUAACCCGGGGAACUGCGCUUCUAACUGGCAGGCUUGACGUGCAGGAGAGGAACGCGGAAUUCCAGGUGUAGCGGUGAAAUGACGUAGAUAUCUGGAGGAACACCGGUGGCGAAGGCGGGUCUCUGGGCCGAUAC